AUAACCACUAUAUUUUUUUACUGUACACUCAGAAUUAUCCUACUCCUCACCACAAAGCCUACUUUUUUGGAAAAGCUAACUCACUCCAGUCGCUUCCCUUCUGAAUUCUAAACAUUCAUAUGACACACAUUUUAAAGGGUCAUUAGGACAGUGAAAGCUUUCACUACUGUCCUCUAGUCUAACUUACUUAGUCACUCACUAAUGUUUCUUCCCCCAGAUGUCAACCAUAAAAGACUGCCAGCUGUGCCACAAAAAAAUAGGAGUGGCGAGCAAAAGGUGUGUGCAUUGUGGAGGCAGCCAGACAAUGAAGACAAAACUGGGUAAACUAAAAGAAAAAUUAAAUGAUGACUGGAAGAAUAAGCAAAGGAAAAACUCCAGUGUAAAUAAAAUAUACGAUUCAACGAAUUUAUUGAUUGUCCUAUUCAUCAAGGGUCAACCAGUUUUCCCUACAAAAAAGUACUGAGAGAAAGAAUCAGGGAGGGCCAAGUUGAGGUGUUAGUGCAGUGGCAUCCCUGCUCUGGAUGUGGGGUGAAGUGGAAAAACUCCUGGGAGCCGAAAACCAAUGUUCAGUGAGUGUCAUCCUGAAGACAAGGGUGUAUUAAUACAAGUAGGGGGGCUGUACAAAAGUACCUUUUGUAUUAGUGUGGUAUGGGUUCAACUGACACUCCCUGCAGUUCUCCUGUUGUCCACAUGCGUCACUGUUCAGUAAGAUGUAUGUAUGUUCACUGUGGAACAUUAUUAAUUUGUUUUCACUUUUAAAACAUUACAAAAUUGUCCUUAUACAUACU